rnacentral:rRNA from 1 species
ACUCCUAACGGGAGGCAGCAGUAGGGAAUAUUGGUCAAUGGGCGAAAGCCUGAACCAGCCAUGCCGCGUGUCAGAUGAAGGUCCUCUGGAUUGUAAAUGACUUUUCUACGGGAAGAAUGAGCCGUCUGCGGACGGAAGUUGACGGUACCGUAGGAAUAAGCACCGGCUAACUACGUGCCAGCAGCCGCGGUAAUACGUAGGGGUGCAAGCGUUGUCCGGAUUUACUGGGUUUAAAGGGUACGUAGGCGGUUGUGCCAAGUCUGGGGUGAAAGUUUGCAGCUCAACUGUAAAAUUGCCUUGGAUACUGGUCGGCUAGAGUAGUGGAGCGGUGGCUGGAAUUUAUAGUGUAGCGGUGAAAUGCUUAGAUACUAUGAGGAACACCAAUUGCGAAGGCAGGUCACUGGUCACUAACUGACGCUGAGGUACGAAAGUGUGGGGAUCAAACAGGAUUAGAUACCCUGGUAGGAUAGCG